UCGAGCCCAGGUACAUCUUCCGCAGGUAAGGUAAUUGGAACAUGCUGCGCGGCAAGUGGUCGCAGCCGUUCUCCUGCAGGUCCAGCACCUCCAGAUAGUGCAGGUUGCUGAACGCGUCCUCGUCGAUCGACCGUAUGAAGUUGUCGUUCAGGUAGACGAACACCAGGCUCGUGUACGCGGCCAGGCUGCUGUUCGUUAGUUCUCGGAUCCUGUUCACGGACAGGUCCAGGAUCUGGAACGGAUUACAUGGGAGAUCGAUGAGGAUCGUUACAGUGCACGGGGAUCUAUCUCUGAAGGUAAAAGAGCUUCGACAUUCUCCAGGCUGCAACGGCUCGAUAAAAUUGUUCGUUGCUGCUUUGUGCCUUUGAACAUUUCAUUUUAUUUCAUUCCAUUCGUUCAUUUAUUCGCGAAGAAAACCCUGUGGCGCAAGAGAAACUAAUACGCAGGGAAUGAAACGAAAUAAAAUUUAUAGUUCGACGCGGUUACCAUCCCAUUCAAAGGAGGAUAAAUACACGAAAGGGAUCUAAAACGACAUCGAUCGCAAAUAAAUAAUAAUUUUUAAAAUGUCGAACUUUUUGGAGCUGGUAGUAAAAGCUUUAGAAAAAUUUAUUUCUGAAAUCGAGGGUACCUGAAUGUUAGUCUUCAAGUUGGCAGGCACCUGGGCCAGGUUGAGGUUCACGCAGCGCACCUGCAUCAUCGCGUACACCCUGUUGUACCUGCACGUCUUCGAGGGUAUGUCCUGGUGCAUGACCAGGGUGGACCCAGCGGAUCCAGGGAUGAUAGUGCCCGGCACGGCGGCCAGGACGAGUCCCACGAACAGGAGCCGGUUGAUGAUCAUGCCCAGACCCAUGUCUGUAACAGAGACGAGCGGAUUUCUCGGUUGAAAUCGACGGUCAAGACAAGUCUCGGGUGUCUCGAGCGGUUCCGGGACGGCGUAUCUCGGGAAUCCGGAAACGGGAAUCGGGAAUCGGGAAUCGGGAAUCGGGAAUCGGGAAUCGACGAGUUCUCGAAGCCCACGGGGCAACGUCACGGCGAUCUAUCGAUCGUCCGCGAAACUGUCGGAAGCUUGGCAUCGGAACAGAAACGCGAUAGAACAUUCGUCGGUCGUGAGAGAGCUUUCAUGACCGUUCUCACUUCUGUUACGUUCUCUCGAGCGGGAUUCUUUCCUAAAGAAAUCGUGAAAGUUGAAGAGAUGGCCAGCGGGUCUUCGAUGCAUUAUUUUGCGUCAGCCCGGUUCCCGACCUUGUUCCGAACCGGAACAAUGACGGGGGAAUUUCUGAGAGGCAUUCCCGAUGCAGUCUCCAAGGGAGGAACGCGAGCGGAUACCUCGCGUGAAUUUUUUAACGGCACCGAAUACCUAUCGGUCGUCCAUGAGACUCUCGGGCUACCGCUAUUCCCGACGAUGCUACGAUCCUCUAACACCGGCCCGAUGAAAUAUUAGCAACUUUGUUUUAAUACGGAACGAGAUACGCCGCCGCUGCCGCACGGCGGAACGGAACGCCUAUUUUCUCGGACAUCAUCGGCCAAAAUUGAUUGUCCACUUCAUGAAAUCUUUGAUAAAUAAUCGUAGCAGAAGAAAAUUCGCCCGCGUGUGAAUUCGACUGUCGAGAACAUUCCGGUCUUGUUGUUUCCCAGAUGCUUCACUUUAAAUAAUUAUUAAAUGGAGGAUUUUUAUGAAAAAUAAAAAUUGUCUGUACGAAUUGCAA